CUGCUUUGGCAGCACAUAACUAAAAUUGAAAUGAUACAGAGAAGAUUAGUAUGUCCCCUGUGCAAGAAUGCCACACAAAUUCGUGAGGUGUUCCAUAUCUUA
rnacentral:snRNA from 1 species